UCACUGUGAGUGAAAAUGUAUCCAAAACUGGAAAAGGUUGAAUCUGAUAGUGCCUUGUUUUCAUAGCUGCAUCAACAGAAAGAAAUGAAUAAUCUCCAGUAUGAGCUCUAAGGAAUGGUAAAAAAGUAAGAUGUCAAAAAUUGAGAUGACCACUACUGUAGACAACAUGGAAUGGAAUGGAAGUAUAAUACUGUUUUUAGUCAUGGCUUUAAAUUCCAAGUAUUUGAAACACAUUCUUCACAGCCAGGGAAUGCCUACACAGGUGAAUGCAAUACCAUGCAUCCAUAUUGGUGAGUGUCUACUCAAAAGAAUAAAAAACAAAAUGUCAUAUUUUCUUUCUAAGUCGAAGUCUUAAAAUAAUUAGACAGAUAAACACAAGUGCUUAUUGUAAACAGGUACUAUGGCUUUAAGAAAAAAAAGUCUAUAAAGACAGCCAGAAAUCUAUUUUUAACUAUGGAGAACACAUGAUAGUCAUUUUAAGAACGAAGUUUGGGAAAGUAUUUGCUGGCACUAAAGGAAUGGCAGUCAUCUUUAUAGCAGGCAAUUAAUGUGUGAUUCUGGAAUCCUCUCUGGGUUUAUGUGAUAAAACGCUGUGAGGUUGAU
rnacentral:lncRNA from 1 species